AUUGAACGCUGGCGGCAGGCCUAACACAUGCAAGUCGAGCGAGCGGCGGACGGGUGAGUAAUGUAUGGGGACUGCCCGAUAGAGGGGGAUAACUACUGGAAACGGUGGCUAAUACCGCAUACUAUCGGAUAACCCAUAUGGGAUUAGCUAGUAGGUGGGGUAAAGGCUCACCUAGGCGACGAUCUCUAGCUGGUCUGAGAGGAUGAUCAGCCACACUGGGACUGAGACACGGCCCAGACUCCUACGGAGGCAGCAGUGGGGAAUAUUGGACAAUGGGCGAAAGCCUGAUCCAGCAAUACCGCGUGUGUGAAGAAGGCCCUAGGGUUGUAAAGCACUUUUGUUAGCGAGGCGUUAACUACAGAAGAAGCACCGGCUAACUCCGUGCCAGCAGCCGCGGUAAUUC
rnacentral:rRNA from 1 species